UUUGGCUUGCAAAUUGCAAUAACUUUCUGUUUUAGUUUAAAUCCAAGAGAAUGAGAUAAUGAAUUAUUGGGUUUUGUUGUUGUAAACGAUUGACUGGGUUAAAUGCAAACACAAGAAAUUGACAGGGGAUAAAAAAAAUGGAAAGAUUUUUGUUUAUUGUGGGUGCCUUUUGUUUUAUGUUAUUUUCAUGUGCAAAUUAGUGUUUGACGCUUCUCUUUUUUCUUCUUUACUCAAUUUAGGAUGCUUUACGACAUGUUUUUGCGAGUAGGAUUGCUGAGAUAAAGGGCUCUCCACAAUGGAACCGGUUGUCAUUCGUAUCAUGCGCAUGUAAUCGCUUGGUUCUGAUGGAUGAGUCUUUACAACUUCUUCCUGCUGUUGAAACUCUUGAUUUGAGUAGAAAUAAGUUUGCAAAGGUAGAUAAUCUACGGAAGUGCACCAAAUUGAAGCACCUGGACCUUGGGUUCAAUCAUUUGAGAACAACUGCACCCUUUAGGGAGGUAGAAAUCAGUGAACUGUUCUUUAACUAGUAGAUUUACCUAAAUGUUUUGGCUGCUUUGAAAUCUUUUGGUUUAUGUGUGUAUCACAAAUUACAUUUUCAGUUUGUUAUUUGCUAGGUUUUCUUUCUCAGGUUGCAACUGUAUUAAUUGGGCUCUAUUAAAUGCUCUGAUAUGGGAUAUGCAUCCUAAAAUCUGUCUUGAGAGUUUAGCGACUCCUGCUAGAGUAAAUUAUUUCAGAUUUAUGCCAUGAAGGAAAAAAAGAUGUUCUAAGCAGAUUGAAACUUAAUUCACUAAGGAGUUUACAGCUUUAGUGGGCUUCAACUCUGUUAAUCUGCUGAGGCUAAUUUGUUUGGACAUUAACACAAGGGGUUCUCCAACUAGUUUGGAAUUAAGACUUAGUUGUUGUU
rnacentral:misc_RNA from 1 species